CCCUUAGAUGUUCGGGGCCGCACGCGCGCUACACUGACAUGUUCAACAAGCCUCCUAGUUCGACAGGAUUUGGGAAAUCUUUGAACGCAUGUCGUGAUAGGGAUAGAUCAUUGCAAUUAUUGAUCUUGAACGAGGAAUUCCUAGUAAACGCGAGUCAUCAGCUCGCAUUGAUUACGUCCCUGCCCUUUGUACACACCGCCCGUCGCACCUACCGAUUGAAUGUUUCGGUGAAGAUUCCGGAUAGGACUUUUUUGAUUUAUUUCAAUUUUGUCUUAAAAGCUAUCUAAACCUCAACAUUUAGAGGAAGGUGAAGUCGUAACA
rnacentral:rRNA from 1 species